UGGGGAAUAUUGGACAAUGGGCGAAAGCCUGAUCCAGCAAUGCCGCGUGGGUGAAGAAGGUCUUCGGAUUGUAAAGCCCUUUCGACGGGGACGAUGAUGACGGUACCCGUAGAAGAAGCCCCGGCUAACUUCGUGCCAGCAGCCGCGGUAAUACGAAGGGGGCUAGCGUUGCUCGGAAUGACUGGGCGUAAAGGGCGCGUAGGCGGUUCGUACAGUUGGAUGUGAAAUUCCUGGGCUCAACCUGGGGGCUGCAUUCAAUACGUGCGGGCUUGAGUUCGGAAGAGGGUCGUGGAAUUCCCAGUGUAGAGGUGAAAUUCGUAGAUAUUGGGAAGAACACCGGUGGCGAAGGCGGCGACCUGGUCCGAUACUGACGCUGAGGCGCGAAAGCGUGGGGAGCAAACAGGAUUAGAUACCCCCGUAGUCC
rnacentral:rRNA from 1 species